UGCCUCGUAGGGAAUAGUCCUUUGUUUAUGGCUACUUUUUUGAGGCUUUACUCUGGUAAAGCUACAAUAGGCUGCUGGAAAACAGUUACUUCAGGACGUUAUUUGGGUUUCAAGUAUUGUUAUGCUCUGUGUUCCUUAUAUGGCUGUUACUUAAUGGAAAUCAAUUAAACAUCCCAAUCUGCCAUGAGAUCAGUGCCACAUGAUGACAAUUUGCCACUACUGAAGCCACCAGAGACAAUGGAGCUUACAUGAAACAGAUGAAGAUACUGCAAUGCACCAGCCAGGCACAGACAGUUACAGUGAUUUGGAUUUUGAACUGCUUUGCACUGUGAGCAAAACUCACUAGAACAGCAUCUCCUUACUGAUUCAUCAUUGUUAACCCUCAAGGCUGUCUCAUUACACAAUGGCAAUAUACAACGUUCAGUACCUGUUGACUAUGUGGCACACAUGGAAGAAGUAUAUGAAAACAUGGAACUGUUGUUGAAGCAGAUCCAGUACCGAGUAAAACUGGAAUGUAGGUGGAGAUCUAAAAUGGCUGUGGCUGCUUGAAAUGCAGCCCAGAUAUACCAAGUACAGUUAGUCUUCAACUUACAACCACAAUUGAGCCCAAAAUUUGUUGCUAAGUGAGACAUUUGUUAAGAGACUUUUAUUCCAUUUUACAUCCUUUCACAGUUGUUAAGUGAAUCACUGCAAUUGUUAAGUUAGUCAUACGUUUAAGUGAAUCUGGUUUCCCCACUGACUAACAGAAUAACAUGAGAUAGAAGAGACCUUGGAGGUUGUUGGAGGUUAGUAAGAACCGUGUUAUUUCUAUUCAUGAAUUACUUGUUUAGGACG